UACGGGGGGGGGCAAGCGUUGUUCGGAAUUACUGGGCGUAAAGGGCCAGUAGGCGGCCAACUAAGUCCGACGUGAAAUCCCCAGGCUUAACCUGGGAACUGCGUCGGAUACUGGAUGGCUUGAAUUCGGGAGAGGGAUGCAGAAUUCCACGUGUAGCGGUGAAAUGCGUAGAGAUGUGGAGGAACACCAGUGGCCGAAGGCGACUCUUUGGUCUUGUAACUGACGCUGAGGCGACGAAAGCGUGGGGAGCAACAGGG
rnacentral:rRNA from 1 species